GAGUUUGAUCCUGGCUCAGGAUGAACGCUAGCGACAGGCUUAACACAUGCAAGUCGAGGGGCAGCGAGGGAGUGGCAACACUUCUGUCGGCGACCGGCGCACGGGUGAGUAACGCGUAUGCAACCUGCCCUUCACAGGGGGAUAACCGGGAGAAAUUCCGACUAAUACCGCAUACGUCCUCCGGGGGGCAUCCCCGGGGGAUGAAAGAAUUAUCGGUGAAGGAUGGGCAUGCGUGAUAUUAGGUAGUUGGCGGGGCAACGGCCCACCAAGCCCACGAUAUCUAGGGGUUCUGAGAGGAAGGUCCCCCACAUUGGUACUGAGACACGGACCAAACUCCUACGGGAGGCAGCAGUGAGGAAUAUUGGUCAAUGGACGAGAGUCUGAACCAGCCAAGUCGCGUGGAAGGAAGACGGAUCUAUGGUUUGUAAACUUCUUUAGUGCGGGAACAAAGCGGCGUCGUGACGCCUGAUGAGUGUACCGCAAGAAUAAGCAUCGGCUAACUCCGUGCCAGCAGCCGCGGUAAUACGGAGGAUGCGAGCGUUAUCCGGAUUUAUUGGGUUUAAAGGGAGCGCAGGCUGCGAGGCAAGUCAGCGGUCAAAUGUCGGGGCUCAACCCCGGCCUGCCGUUGAAACUGUCUUGCUAGAGUUCGAGUGAGGUAUGCGGAAUGCGUUGUGUAGCGGUGAAAUGCAUAGAUAUGACGCAGAACUCCGAUUGCGAAGGCAGCAUACCAACUCGCGACUGACGCUGAGGCUCGAAAGCGUGGGUAUCGAACAGGAUUAGAUACCCUGGUAGUCCACGCCGUAAACGAUGUCGACUUGGAGGUUGUGCCCUUGAGGCGUGGCUUCCGGAGCUAACGCGUUAAGUCGACCGCCUGGGGAGUACGGCCGCAAGGUUAAA
rnacentral:rRNA from 1 species